rnacentral:rRNA from 1 species
GACGAACGCUGGCGGCGUGCUUAACACAUGCCAGUCGAACGGAAAGGCCCUGCUUUUGUGGGGUGCUCGAGUGGCGAACGGGUGAGUAACACGUGAGUAACCUGCCCUUGACUUUGGGAUAACUUCAGGCAACUGGGGCUAAUCCCGGAUAGGAGCUCCUGCUGCAUGGUGGGGGUUGGAAAGUUUCGGCGGUUGGGGAUGGACUCGCGGCUUAUCGGCUUGGUGGUGGGGUAGUGGCUUAGCAAGGCUUUGACGGGUAGCCGGCCUGAGAGGGUGACCGGCCACGUUGGGACUGAGAUACGGCACAGACUCCUAUGGGAGGCAGCGGUGGGGAAUAGUGCACAAGGGGCGGAAGGCUGAUGCAGCAACGCCGCGUGCGGGAUGACGGGCUGCGGGUUGUAAACCGCUGUCGCCUGUGACGAAGCGUGAGUGACGGUAAUGGGUAAAGAAGCACCGGCUAACUACGUG